GACGAACGCUGGCGGCGUGCUUAACACAUGCAAGUCGAACGAAGAGCGACGGAAGCUUGCUUCUAUCAAUCUUAGUGGCGAACGGGUGAGUAACGCGUAAUCAACCUGCCCUUCAGAGGGGGACAACAGUUGGAAACGACUGCUAAUACCGCAUACGAUCUAACCUCGGCAUCGAGGAUAGAUGAAAGGUGGCCUCUACAUGUAAGCUAUCACUGAAGGAGGGGAUUGCGUCUGAUUAGCUAGUUGGAGGGGUAACGGCCCACCAAGGCGAUGAUCAGUAGCCGGUCUGAGAGGAUGAACGGCCACAUUGGGACUGAGACACGGCCCAGACUCCUACGGGAGGCAGCAGUGGGGAAUCUUCCGCAAUGGGCGAAAGUCUGACGGAGCAACGCCGCGUGAGUGAUGACGGCCUUCGGGUUGUAAAGCUCUGUUAAUCGGGACGAAAGGCCUUCUUGCGAAUAGUGAGAAGGAUUGACGGUACCGGAAUAGAAAGCCACGGCUAACUACGUG
rnacentral:rRNA from 1 species